AGGAAAGGUACAUAAAUCGGAGCAUUCAGUAUUUUUGUUCACUAAAUGAAUCUGACAAAGAAACGAGUAAUGAGAAAAAUUGCAAGUUACAGAAAUUAAACCCAAGGAAUAUAUAUUUUUAAGAACUUUGGACAGGAAGCGGUCAAAAGGUUAAAAUAUCUAAGGACGCAUUUCUAAACUAGUCUGCGGAGAUUUUAAGAAGACGAAAUAUUAAAAAAGAAAUGUUACCGGAAAUUUCCUUUUAACUCUUGGACAGGAAGCGGUCAAAAGGUUAAAAUAUCUAAAGACGUAUUUCUAAACUAGUCUGCGGAGAUUUUAAGAAGACGAAAUAUUAAAAAAGAAAUGUUACCUGAAAUUUCCUUUUAACUCUAGGACAGGAAGCGGUAAUAAAAAUCUAAAGACGUGUACCUUAAUGAGUUUAAUGAAGAAAUUAUUACAGAACGACAUUGUACUACACUCAAUUAGCACCGCGGCGAUGUAUCAUUAACUCGGACAGAAGAAAAGUUAAAAAGAAAUUGCCACAAUGAUAAAUAGAAAAUCGCGUUAUUAAGAUGAAGCUAGAGACAAAAUUAAUGAUGAAGAUUAAGAAUGCAAGAAGAAAAAGACGCAAGUAUAUAUAUUUAAACCCUUGUCAAUCAUUAAACGCUAAAAAUGGGGAUGAAAUAAUAACGGAUGAAAUAAUAAUGAUAAAUAGAAAAUCGUGUUAAUAAGAUGAGGCGACAAAACUAUUAUGAAAAUUGAAAACGUUAGAAAAAAAGACGCAAGUAUAUAUAUUUAAACCCUUGUCAAUCAUUAACGCUAAAAUAAUAACGAGAGAGCAAAAGAACAUAAAUAACAUAACAAAGACUAUCACGACCUCACGAAUUUCAGUAACAGGUGAAGACAGGAAGAAAAAAAAAAGACGCAGGUGAAAAUUUAAACCCUUGUCUAUCGAAACUAAAAAUAGGGAUGAAAUAAUAACGAUUGAGCAAAAGAACAUUAAAACACUAUCCCGACCCCACGAAUUUCAGCUAACGUAAUAGGUAACGUAAGAAAGAGAAAAAUGCAAGUAGAAAUUAAACCCUUGUCUACCAAAACACUAAACACGGGGAUGAAAUGACAAAGAAACAGCGAAACAACAUAACAAACAUCGCAAACCCUCUCGCAACCCCAUGAAUUCCCGCUAACAACAGGUAGAGGGAGGAAGAGAAAAAAGACAUGUAUAAAUUUAAACCCAUGACUAUCAAAGCUAAAACUGUUGAAAAUAAUAACAAAAAAGCGGAAAAAAACAUAGCUAACACCACAAUCCCUAUCAUAACACCACGAACUUCAGGUAACAUAACAGGUAACGAAAGAAAGAAAAAUCAACACAAGGAAAAAUCUAAAGCCUUGUCUAUAUCACAACACUAGAAAAGGGAAUGAAGAUAAUAGCCAAAGACGAAAAUAACAUAGCUAACACAACGAAGACCAUCUCGACCCCACGAAUUUCAAUAACACACGAGCGAAAAAAAAAAGUAGAUAGAAAUUUAAACCAUGACUAUCAAAACUAAAACUGCAGAUGAAAAUGUCAACCAAAGGCGAAAAGAACACAGCUAACACAACAAAGACCUUCUCCAACCCAUGAAUUUCAGUAACACACGAGCGAAAGAAAGAAAAAGAAGACGUAGGUAUAUAUUUAAACCCAUGACUAUCAAAACUAAAACUGGAGAUGAAGAUAAUAGCCAAAGACGAAAAGCUCUCAACUAACAUCACACACAAGAUCUCCAACCCACGAAUUUCAGUAACACACGAGCGAAAAAAACACGCAGCAUUCCCCUCUUAAAUUCAUGGUUAUAUACAACCUCCCUAAUUGAAGGUGACAGUCCUAUUGCGGCUCAAAUAAUACAAUAAAAGGCUCAUAAAACACACCUGGACGCCCUAAACGCUAGAUGUGAGCCAGGUAAAGGUGAGAAAACAGCGUGCAAUUAGGGUGACAAACGGGAAAACACACACACACACACACACACACACACACACACACACACACAGACGAACCUGGGGAUGACUUGUGCUUUAUCGAGAGAGAGAGAGAGAGAGAGAGAGAGAGAGAGAGAGAGAGAGAGAGAGAGAGAGAGAGAGAGAGAGA